GUCAGACCUCUGAGGCAGAGCGCUUGAGCUCUUGCCUGAUAAUCUCACUUCUGGAGGUCGUCCUCAGGAUAAAAGAAAGGAUAAGAAGGGUAAAAUAUAAAGCCUCCAUAGUAUAAUUUAAAAUAGUUAAAACUUGUAAGCAGUUUAUAUGACCUCAGAUUACGACCUCAGUCAGCAAACGUGGCCUUGUGCUCAGUCACUUCAUUCGUGUCCAACUCUUUGCGACCCCAUGGACUGUGGCCCGUCCGGCUCCUCUGUCCAUGGGAUUCUCCAGGCAAAACACUGGAUUGGGUUGCCAUGCCCACCACCAGUGGAUUUUCCUGACCCAAAGACGGCCUACCCAACCAUUAAAGUCAAAUUUAAGAGUAACAUUGAAAAUGCCAUCAAAUAAUAUUUACUGAAAAAAUAAGAUAUAAAGCCAUACAUACAUAUAUUUUUAAAGAUUCUUGGGGUGUGUUUGUAUACAUCUCCGUGUCUUCACAGAAAAGACUGGAAGGAGAUGGAUAGCUAUCCCUCAGUAUCUGCAGGAUUGCUUCCAGGACCUCUCGUGACACCAAAAUUCAGGGCUGAAGUCAUUUAUAUAAAAGGGUGCAACAUUUGCAUGUAGCCCUGGGCCAGGCUGCGGUGGACAGCUGGUGGGCAGCACAUAGGGGCUGGGCUGGGGCGGGGGUUGGGAAGAAAGAAGCUCCCUCACCCUCACAUACCUCUCCUCUGGCCCCCAAAGCUAUUGGAGUUCUUAGAUGUCCUGGAUGACCCAGUGCUGGGCUACCUGCCUCAACGGUCAUCACCAUCCUCACGUCCACCUGUUCUCCUGUGCCGUGGACUACAGGUACCCAGGCUCAGGGACCUGGGGCCUGGGGCUGGGGCCAGGCUCUCAUGGGCAAGGAACCUGCCCCAGCCCAAAUGUGACCCCUUCCUCCCAGGCCCCUCUACCUCCCGUCGUACGUGUCCUUGUCACUGCUGAGACCUUCACCCUCCAGCAACAUCGCCAUGGACACCUCUACCUUCCUGCUCAGGUAUGCAACCCCUCCUACCCAAGCUCCCCAUCCAUCCCACCCCAAGUCGGCUGUAGCUACCCUUCCCCAGGGUCCCACAUGCCUGCUGUGUGUCCUCAGGCCUCAGGCCUUUCUGUGCAUCUGAGUGAUCCUCUCUGAGGAAGUCAAGGAGGUUUCUACCUAGAGGCAGUCAGACCUCUGAGGCAGAGCGCUUGAGCUCUUGCCUGAUAAUCUCACUUCUGGAGGUCGCCCUCAGGAUAAAAGAAAGGAUAAGAAGGGUAAAAUAUAAAGCCUCCAUAGUAUAAUUUAAAAUAGUUAAAACUUGUAAGCAGUUUAUAUGACCUCAGAUUACGACCUCAGUCAGCAAACGUGGCCUUGUGCUCAGUCACUUCAUUCGUGUCCAACUCUUAUGCACCCCAUGGACUGUGGCCCGUCCGCCCUCUGUCCAUGGGAUUCUCCAGGCAAAACACUGGAUUGGGUUGCCAUGCCCACCACCAGUGGAUUUUCCUGACCCAAAGACGGCCUACCCAACCAUUAAAGUCAAAUUUAAGAGUAACAUUGAAAAUGCCAUCAAAUAAUAUUUACUGAAAAAAUAAGAUAUAAAGCCAUACAUACAUAUAUUUUUAAAGAUUCUUGGGGUGUGUUUGUAUACAUCUCCGUGUCUUCACAGAAAAGACUGGAAGGAGAUGGAUAGCUAUCCCUCAGUAUCUGCAGGAUUGCUUCCAGGACCUCUCGUGACACCAAAAUUCAGGGCUGAAGUCAUUUAUAUAAAAGGGUGCAACAUUUGCAUGUAUCCCAUGUACAUCCUCCCAUAUUCUUUAAGUCAUCUCUAGAUUACUUUUAACACCCAACACAGUGUAAAUGCUACAUAAGUAGUCGCUGCUGCUGCUGCUAAGUCGCCCAGUUGUGUCUGACUCUGUGCGACCCCAUGGACUGCAGCCCACCAGGCUCCCCUGCCCUGGGAUUCUCCAGGAAGAACACUGGAGUGGGCUGCCAUUUCUCCAGUGCAUGAAAGUGGAAAGUGAAAGUAGUUGCUAGCAUGCAACAAAUACAGGUUUUGCUUUUGGAACUUUCUAGGUUUUUGUUGGUUUGUUUGUUUUGGUUCUCUGACCAAGAAUGGAUUUUUAAAAAAUAUUUCUGAUCCGCAGUUGGUUGAAUCCUCAGAAGCAGAACCCACAGAUUGGGAGGGCCAAGGUUCUAUUCUCAGAAUCUGAGAUUAGCUUUAUUCUUAUAUAUUUAAAAGCAGUAGGGAAAAGCAGGACAUUUCCUCCCAGGGCUGCUGUGAGUUCCAUCCAGGUGAGAUGGACAAGCUG
rnacentral:lncRNA from 1 species